rnacentral:lncRNA from 1 species
CUCGCGGGCGGCGGCCUUGGCGACCCACCCUGCGCGGAUCUCCGGGCCCGGGCUGCGGGCGUGUGCCAGGGGAUCUCCGGCGGCCCUUGGGGAUCAGGCCUAGCGGGGCGGGAAGGCCCACAAGCAGCGCGCCCGGGAGAGCCGGUGAGACGACGGCGCGCGGCCGGCUACGCGGGGCGGGGGGCCGGGGCGGACGGAGGGCCCGGCGCGCGGCCGAAUGUGCUUGGCGCUUGGUCGUCGCCGCAUUGUCGUCUGGCGGUGGUCCCCCUGAACAGCCCGAGGCCACUAGGCUGAGCCUGGCAGACCUUUACAGAUGCCGAGAACGGCGCCCGCCUGCAGGAUGACGCGCAGUUUGCCCGGCGCCGGAUUUCGUGGCGGCGCGCGGCACCGGAGCCUCCAGGGCCCAGGGAAGGGUUGAGUGGAGACGGCGUCGGCGCGACGGUCGUGGGUCCCCAGACCGCAUGCCUUUGUGUUGGCCUGCGUGAGCGAAGGGUCACUUAGCCCUCGGUGCGCUCGGCUACGCUCGGCUAGCAGAAAGGCGUGCGUGGUUUCAGGCUGAGGCUGGAGGUGGACCUCAGCCGGGGGUUUUCAGGUUAAAGCAGUUUAUGACCUUCGGCAAGGCCAGGUUGGGAGUCCUCGUGGACGUUCCCAUCGACCUUCCCGAAUGUGCACGGGGUCUCACUGCGCGCCCCGGGCAGGCCUGGAGGCAUUCAGAAUCGUCCCGCAGAGCACUCAUUUCACUGGGUCUCAGCCACUACCCACGAGUAUUGAAAAAUAAAAUUGUUACUUGAAAAAAAUUCAUUUGUAUAAUAGAUAAACUGACAUCUUUUAAAAACUGACAUCCUGUAGUCAUGAAGAAUGGAAAUUGAAGUUUCAAUGAUAAACAGUAAAUCUCAUAAAAACACCAUCUUAAGACAGGGUCCACAUCUAUAAUAUGGAAUGUCCAACUGCAAAGUUACAGGAAAAAUGCCCCAUGGAGGCUUCCAUUUUAUAUUCUGGAUAGCUAGAUCUUAUCACUGAUUUUUGUAACACUUAAAAGAUGACCCACUUUAGGGUAAUAUUUCAUUUCUGGAAGCUUCACAUCUUUUGUGAUUUGGAGGCAUUUACCACCCCAAAUAUAAUAACCCUAGUGUAGAUGAAUUUUGAGUUUUUCCAAAUAAGUUCCAAGCAUGAUCAUUUUGCUUGAUAACCUUAAGUGAAUAAACAGCCUGCUUACUGCUAAUUUGGUAAAUAUAGUGAUAUGUUUUUCGUUUCCUCUUAGAAAUUUAGAUAACUAAGGAAAAGUCAAAGUAGGAUUGAGAAUAUUUAGAAUAGUACCUACUGAGAUAAACCUGAGACCAUUAUUUAGAUAAGAAUUUCCAAAUGGCUUUUUUAAAAUGAAUUUUUAUGUUGAAUACCACAGUCUCUUAGUUUCAUGGUCUGUUCAGUUUAGCUAGACACAGACCCCCUAAAGUUAGAUAUUAAUGUUUAAUAACUCUUUAGCCUGGAUUUAUAGGUCACCACACUCAGUCUUACAUGAGAAGGACAGACCGCUUAAGUUAGAGACAUAGGCCAGAGUUUCAUCACAGGAAAGGUCAGAAACCCAAAGGGCAUCCUUUGUGGGGAGGUUUCAACAAAUUGGUUCUGAGAGCUCAGUGCUACCACUAGUUGUGCAGUGUAGGAAAACUGAAAAAGCACAAGUUACCCCAAAUUCCUGUUGAGAUCCUUCUAGACUGUUCGAUAUAGAUGUAUUCUUCCUUUAAAAAAAGGUCACACACCAUGCAUUUCUUUUGCCCUUCAAGAGAAAAAAAAUGUCAAGAAUGGCCUUCCUUGUCUGUAAAUAAUAGAUCACUUAAUAGAUACAUGAUACUCCAUUGUUUGACUUGCUAAUGGAAAAUAACAAUUCUGCUUUGAGGAAAUAAAAAUAAUUGUUUAUUCUGAGCUAAAUAUGAAUGACCGUGCCCUAGCUAGUCAACUCCAGUUACCUGGAGAGAUGCAGCUCCCCGUGGAGAAGAUUGGGCAAGCUCUUGUAGACCACAGGAAAUAGGUGGAGUCAUCAGUAAGCAGACUGUCAAGGAGCUGGGAAACCUGCAAGAUUUGGAUGUGUUCCAGGGAAUUCAGGGGCUGUCUCCUGUCUCAUUUCCCAGCCUUAAGGUUGGGAGAGGCCACAGGUUCAUCAAGCUUAGCAUACAUUUAUCCCGUGGCCACAAAGAUGCGAAGUCAGACACCAAGGCCAACAAAAAGUGUGUUAAAAGGGUCCCAAGGUAGUCCAGUAUAGUCUUGGCUUCUUAAUGAACUCUGUGCUCCAAGAAGCUCCCAAAUAAAAGUGCAGCCCCUACAGAGAACUUCAGUUCACAGCCUUCCAUAAUUUAAUUCUGUGUUGCACAUUCACCACUUCCAGUUUAACAAUUACAAACGAUGCUUUGAUGAAGCAAAUCCUCUCAAGAUAGGAGUACAUAUAGGAUGCAGUAAAGAUAAUUUUAAAAUCUUUAAUUACUUAAUAGAUAUUUAUUGGAUUUGGGGUUACUUGCUUUAUAUGACAAAAAUGAAUAAUGUGAUACCAUCCCGUGCUUUCAGAUCAGAAACUCCCAUCCCUGAGCACAGUGCCUGAGCUCAGAGCGCAUUGGUCAAGAGGAUUUGAAUCACUGAUUCUGAACCAGGCAGGCACUUUUGAAACCCCUGAAAGAUAACACGUUUUCAUCUCCAGCCACUUGCAUUGGCCAGAACCUAGGCUCAUGACCCCAACCUCAACUGCAGGGGAGCUGGGUCUUCCUGUGUGUCUAAGAAAUGGCAUUGCCAAUUUCUGUAAUUUAUGGUUUUUAAAGAAAAAAAUCUACAAAAUAAGAUUUGAGAAUACAAAAUAAAAUGAAAGUUUUUGAAGAUAACUUUUUAAAAAAAUCCUUAAUUACUCAGUAUUUAUUGAAUUGGGGUUAUUUGUUUUAUAUGACAAAGAUUCAUAGUCUUUUUACAAAGUAAACCUCUAGGUUCAUUUUUGCAAUCGGUGUUUAUCACAGGCCUGUAACCAAUGUUGGGUAUCUUUCAUUUGACUGCCCACCCUCAGAUCUAAACUAUCCUUCACUGAUUUCUACCCUAGUAGCUGACUCAAAUAAAUUACACAAAUGGUCUCCCUGGUACUCGGGCUUGAAUUGAAUCUGACCCAUGGGGACUUCCAGCAGGAACUUGAGAACUGAGGGGUGGGAGGGAGGUCAUAGUGUGUUGAUCUCCCACCUACCUUGGGAGGUCACCUUGAACUGGCAAAAGACCCUGUUCUACAAGAUCCCUCUUCCCUGCCUGGACAUCCUUAUCUCUGGACCUAAGGGGGGUGAGGUCUCCUUGAUUCUUUCCCCAGGUUCCUUCCCCAUUGUUCACUCUGCCUACACCUUCGUGAGUAGUCCCUUCAUAAACUCUCAGGUAAUUCUGAGUACAGGUGUCCUUAUUAUGGCCCUGUUAUAAUGGACAUAAAACCUCAACGGGAUAGCAAGGUUUCUUACUUUAAAAUAUUGUCUGUUGGGGCUGGGGAUAUGGCUCAGCGGUAGAGCACUCACCUUGCAUGUUCAAGGCCCUGGGUUCGAUCCUCAGCACCACAUAUAAAUAAAUAAAGUUAUUGUGUACAACUACAAAAAAUAAAUAUUAAAAAAAAUAUUGUCUGUCCUGGAAAAACUAACAAACAUGUGGACACAUGAGCCAAACACUGAUGGAUUAAUCGUGCGAGAGGUCCCUGUGCGCUGCUGAGGAUGCUUGGAUAGGUGGGCAGAGGGGAGUCACAGACGGGAGGAAGAGGCCAGAAUGCUGGUACUGAUGGAAUAAAAUUUUGCACAUUUUAGAUAGUACAUCAUCAAUGAUUUGAUGUAAGGUUAAAAACUAGGGAAUAAUGAAAGACUUGUGUCCUGUGUGUGAAGAUCGUGGAGUCCCAUCACCAGAAGAGGUUGUUGCAUUGAGACCUAAUAAUCCCAUAGUUUACUAGCCAUGUGAAGUUAAGAACCUCAUGACAGCCUGGCUGUAGGAUUCACUGCUUACUCUUGGGGAUUAAACUAUGUUUUCCCAACAGAUAUUAUUAAGUCUUAACUAAGAUUCUACCCCUGCCUGUAAAUGUAGACUUAUUUGGAAAUAAGGUCUUUGCACAAGUUAAAAUGAGGUUAUACCAGAUUAGGGUGGGCCCUAAAUCUGAUCACUCGUGUCCUUAUAAGAAACAUUAAAUUUGAAUACUUAGGGAAGAUGCCAAGCAGUGAUAGAAAUGGAGUAGGAGUGAUUCUUCCCUCAAGCCUUGAGAGAGCAAGGCCCUGCCAUUUCCUUCAUUUCUUACCUCCAGAACUGAGAGUAAGUUUCUGUUGUUUCAAGCUAACCAGUGUGUGAUUUUUGCUACAGCAGCCCUAAGAAACCAAUAACUGGGCAUCCCUAAAGGACAGUCCCCAAACAAAAAUUUUCACUCUUGAGUUAUAGGAAUGUGCAUGCAAGCAUUCCAUUUGCCCAUAGCUUUCAGAUGUUAACAGGUAGGAAGAGUGAGCGAGACACCUGAAAAACACAUUUUGCUGUGAUGGGAGGGACAGAAGUCAAAAAUGAAGCUAAAAGAUUAAAAUAUUGGACCAUGUUUAGAAUUUAUUUAAGUCAAACAGCAUACCAAACCACAGGACUUGUAACUGUUACAGAACUGCGUGAUUAUUCUGCCAAGAUAGUUAGUUCUGUUCUUUAUUUUUUAGGAUGUGCUUAGUGUUUGUUUGCUUUUUUUCCUGUCAGCAUCACACAAGUCCAGUGGUCAUCUGGACCAGGGUGGGUCAUCUGACAGCUUCACUAGGCUGUGUGGUGGGCAGCUCCCAGGUUUCAGUGGUUCCCUGCAAAGGUCACUUCCCACUCCUUGUUGGUUGCAAGACGAGCACAGCUCUGUCCCUGAGUCGUCUUCCCUGUGCUCAGCAGAGGUGAGCACAGCUUUGGCAGCUGAGGAAGAAGCAUAACAAAGGGUCAUGGGGUAGUUCUACAUAGUCUGUUCGGAACUCACCUGCAUCCCACUGCCUAUCCUCAUUGCCAGGGCUGACAUCAGUGUGGCAGCCACUCUUACUCCCUCUGGGAGGCACUGCAAGUCAUGAUGCAGUGAGCAGAAGAUUCUGCCCAAGUGGCAGCAAGUAACUGAGGGCAGCCAUGAAAUCUGCUAAUCGUCCUUCUUGACACAAAAGUGAACCUGGGCUCACACUGUAUAGUCAUUCGCUCCCCAGAGAAGUCAGUCAACCUGGGGCGAUAAUCCAGGAACUCGCUGGACCUCUACAGCAACUCCAGGUGUGGCCCCUCUGGGGCUUAGCUGAGCCCCUGUCCUCCCAGCAUACCACUGGAACCUGGAGAGGAUAACUGCCAUGGGUGCCCAUGUAGCUGGGGAGAAAUGUGAGGCAUGCAGCAGUUUGUGGAUCAGAGCAUCAGGGAGAUGCCUCGGGGCAGGACUCCUUCCCUGUUCCUCUGUUCAGCUUUGAUCACCAGCUAACUUCUGAGUUACCAUGUACCAGCAGAACAUGGUCCUGAGUCCCUGCUUUAAGUCAGGUGCAGAGGUGCUGGCCACCUAAAUGGUAGGCAGAAAGCCUGGGUGAAAGCUUCUCUCCACCAGGCCUUGGAGACGCCUUUCAGUGGGUUCUCAGAAGGUCCUAUUGGGACCAUGGCCCAUCAUGUGGCCAGUUUGGGUUUAUGUCCCUCCCACCCUGAUUCAACCACUGGACAGGAGUCAGUCUCACUUCUAAAACACACUAAGGAUGAGAAAAAUGAGGCCCAUAGAAUUUAAGUGACUUGCUCAUGGCCACAGUUACUAGCUGAGGUUAAGCUAAACCCAUCCAUCUUUUUUGGACUUAUUCUAUAAAAAAUUUAAAAGGAGGGGCUGGAGAUAUAGCUCAUUUGGUAGAGUGCUUGCCUCACAUGCACAAGGCCCUUUUGAAGUUGGUUGAAUUGAAAGAGACAAUUGUUAGAUCUAAAUUCAGAACUUCCAAAUCUUAAUGUCUUGUGUCAGUUUUAAUUUUCUGAUUUAAUUAGUUUCCUAAUUAGAAGGGUUAAAUUAAUUAACCUCAUUAUUUACUAUAUAUUUAAUGAUUUCUCCUCUAUAGGGAGUUACUUAAUUUUCAAUAAUUGGAAAGCUUAUGACAAGAGGGAAUACCACCAAGUUCUACACUUAUUGUGUUAUGGUCAGCAGCUGGCAUAGGACAGAUUAAUGGAAGUUUAAGUGAGAUUUCACCCACUUUCUUCCCACUUGUUUUGAAACAGAAAUCUUGUAAAAACUUGGAUUGGGAUUGAAUUAGUGGAAUGUCCUUUAUAAAAAGUAUCCUGUAAUAGAAUUUUAUAUUGUAAGAAAUAGCUUUAUUACAUAUUGGACAAUGAAAUCAUCAAGCAUUAAAUAAUACUAAGUUUAAUGAAAAGGACGAUUUCUGAAAUAGUCAUCUAGUUAUCUAAGAUUUACCAUGCAAAUAUCACACAAUACAGUAUUGUGUUUCUCCUCAGACUUGUCAGUGGUGGGUGACAUUUGGGAAGACACAGUAAAAUAAUCAGCCUAAUGGAUAAAUGGCUUAUGGGAAUCAAAUGUCCUGUUACUUCGUGUUUAUGUAUGUAAACAUGUACACAUUCCCAUCUGGAAGAGCAGCCGAACAGGCCUGGGAUGCAGCUGGGCGGCAGGACCAGGAAUGCACUCCUGGCUGACUGGAGGAAGGUGAUGCAGGGUGGGGUGUGCAGACGCCUAGAGAAGGGGGUCGGAGGCCUUCGGGAAAGAGCUGAGAUGAUGACUGUCCGUGUUUCUCAAAGGUCAGAAUCCAUGUGUCUCAAUUUCCUACCAAAAAAUUUUAUGGGCUGAAAUUGAGAGAGUAGAAAUUGGUCUUUCACUUCAUUCCACUCAGAGACUGUUUACCCCGUUCCAUUCAUGGUGAGCAAAGCAGUCCCCCUGGUUCCCUGACACUAGCCCAACAGUGUCCCCGUGGCUGUGACCUCCGAAUUCCAUGGCCCUCAUUGAAGUCUGAUCCACUGAGCCCGCUGCUGGACAACCCCUCUCUCCACCUCCAGCCUGGAGGCCCCUCUGCCACUGCCAGUGUUCAUGCCUUCUUCUCACCACGCUGCAGUGCUGCCUUUCUCCAAACACGCCGACUUCCCACCUCGGCCAUGGCUCUGGCCCAUGGGAAGGAGCCCCUGCUCAGACCUGUCCUCCAGCUUGGCUCAAGUGCUCCAUUUCAUGACACAUCUCUGAAGCCUGGAGAGGGAAUUUCUUUGGUCCCUUCUACUAGUGAUCAUACACAAGUAUAAACCAAGAACGAAACCGGAGUCCUUUGGCAUGGGUCACGGAUGACUAACCUAACCAAGUAUGAGAGUGUCUUAACUGACUUUGUGGCUGGUGAGAUUCUUCUCUGAACCAUUUUCAGAGCAAGGAGUAUAAUCAGAACCAAAAGGACCCUCAAAUGUGAGAGAGAACUUCAUUUAAAAUAUCAAAAAGCCUUUGAGGUACUUCAUCUCACCACCCCCACCUCACCCUCUCCCCUCCCCUACUCACAUAGGUCUUUCCUCGCAUGUCUCCCCCGCCACCAAUAUUUAGUAUAGUGUCUGAUGCCAAGUGGCGGAUAGAUAAAUGUUUAAUAGGAUUUUUCACCCUAAUUUUUAAGGCACCAUCACAGAUAAUCAGGAUUUUACAAAUUUAAAAUUCAUCUCUUCUAGUGAAGUUCCUUUGCUGUGUUUUACUUUUCAGAUGGAAAAAGAAGCCCACAGACAUUAGGUUGGGAGCUUGCAAAGUCUUUUUUUCCAUUAGAAGAAAAUAUUUUAAGCUCUGUGGUCCACACAAUUGCCACUGCAGCGCAAUACUGGCCACAGACAGUGUGUGUGCUAAGGAGCUGUGUCCAACACACCUUUUAUGCACAGGCCAGAAGGGGCUGGACAGACCUUGGCUUUGGAUCCAUGACUGGUUGAGCGUCUGAGGUCGGAGACCAACACCCAACAGACAUUAGCUGGCUAACCAGCCGUGGGGCCCCAGCACGGCACCCUGCUUCCCCGAGAUGGCUCUCUGACUCAGGAGGGGUGUCUGAAAGCUUGACCAUCAGGGAAACAAGGGAAUUAGGGCUAAUUAAUUAGUCAAGUCUUUGAAAUCCACAGAGAAAAGAGCCUCAGAAUAAGUGCAAACUGUCAUCCUCAGUAAUAUAUUUGUGGCACUUUCAUUAAAUUUUCUCUCAGAUCUUGAAAACUGUAUCUCCUGGCUGCAGAGAUUUUCAUUGCAGUAUAAUUAUGAAGCCUCCCCAAAUAAUCACUUUUUAGUUUGUGAUACUCGGUGGGGCACCAUGCCAGCUGCCAAGGCCUGAUGGAGCUGUUCAACUGGAGACUCAUUAGCACAGCACAGGUGAAAAUGAAGAGUGGUGGUGAAACUUGUUCCCAGAGUAUAAAAUGUAAAUGCCCAUUGUUCAGGGAGUUUCAUGGAAAAAAAGAAAGAAAGAAAAGAACAGCAGUAAUACAAAGAAAGUUAAAAUACCCCGGCAUCUAUCAUGAUGAGAUAUUAGGUCCGCUUUCCACAGAUACUAAUGGAAGCCAUCUUUACCACAAAGAGCGUGGAUGUUUCAACAUGUGAUAGCCAUUUUUAUGAAUGACAUUCACAAAGACAAAGGGUCACUGGUUUGGUAUGUGACUCGUUAAAUGAGUUCAUUAUUGUUCAUUUUAGUCUUUUUAAAAAAAUUUUUUAGAUGCUGAUGAACCUUUAUUUUAUUCACUUAUUUAUAUGCAGUGCUGAGAAUCAAACCCAGUGCUUCACACAUACUAGGCAAAUGCUCUACCACUGAGCCCCAGCCCCAGCCCUGUUUUAACAUAAGCAAGUGUUUGAGCUUUAACUGAGAACAAGUUUAGAGACUGCAAAUCUAAAAGGGUAUCUAUGAGCUACUCUUUGUUCAUGAACAUUCUAAUCCCAGUUAAUUCUCAGGACACACUUUCAAAGAUAUUAAAAAUCUAGCUCCAUGGAAGCUCUGUUACUAAACUGUAUUUCAUGAACAUGUGUCAUAAGGAAUUCUCUUCUCAGUUGUAAAUCGGUUCAAUUUUCAUCACUUAAAAACUUAGUAUUCUUGGGCUAGGGAUGUGGCUCAAGCGGUAGUGCGCUCGCCUGGCAUGCCUGCGGCCCGGGUUCGAUCUUCAGCACCACAUACAAACAAAGAUGUUGUGUCCGCCGAAAAACUAAAAAUAAAUAUUAAAAUUCUCUCUCUCUCUUUCUCUUUAAAAAAAAAAAAAAAACUUAGUAUUCCUUAGAAAGACAAAGAUAGUAGUAUUAUUUUUAUUUAUUUUUUAUUUAUAGUAGAUUAUUUUAUUAUAGUAGAUUAUUACUGAUCAGGAGUAUGGGUAAGAUGAAUCAAAACACAGGUCACAUCAAAGACUUAAGUGCUGCCCCCGACCAGUGCAUGCAGCUGAAUUUAAGGUCGCUCCUGUGAAUUUCCUGGGAUAUUAAAUAAAACACAGGCACAUUUUAUCUUUAAAUCAAGCUUCAGGGCAGCUCCUCUUUCUCUCAGCCUCAAGCUCCCCAAAUGGGAGAGCGAGGAGAGUCAAAAGAGGCUAGCGAGAGAGCGAGCACAUUCAGAAGUGAACUUUUAUUGGGGGGACCCUCAUUCUUAGAAAGUUCCAUCCAAAAAAGGUCAGGAGGGACAGGGUUACAAGGACAGGUGAGUAAUUCCACUCCUGGGGCUACAGGAAGGCACGUCUACGUCUGAAGACACAUUCUGCUACUUUGAGGAUCAGGGCAAUAUCCAGUCACUACGAAAGUGACCAGCAGAACCUCUCUGAUCACAGGAAGGAGAAUGCCAGUCAUUCAGUGAGACAGCCUCCCACACUUUAGAGUGAGACCCAAAACUUGAAAAUGUGGAAAACACUUCAGGACAUCAAUUUGGAUAAAGAUUUCUUGAUAUGGCCCCCAAAACACAGGCAACAAAAGCAAAAAUGAACAAAUAGGAUCACAUCAAAUUAGAGAACUUCUGUACAACAAAGGAAACCAUCAACAGUGAGACGACUUGAAAAAAUGGGAGAAAAUAUUAACCAGCUAUUCAUCUGACAAAAGUGGGGAUGCAGAACAUAUAAGCACUCAACAACAAAAACAAAAUUAAAGAUGGGCACAGGAUCUAAAUAGACAUUUAGACAUCUCUGAAAAGAAGAAACACAGAUGGCCAACACAUAUGAAAAAAACACCAGCCCUAAUCAUCAGGGAAAUGCAAAUCAGAACCACAGUGAGAAGUCACCUCAUUCCAGCUAAUCGGCUACUAUCAGACAAAAGGUGUGCAGUGAAGAUCUGGAAAAUUGGGAACUCUUAUCCAUUGUUGGUUGGAAUGUAAAUUAGCUCAGCCAUUAUAGAAAAAAAUGUGGAGACUCCUUAGAAACACAGGUACUAUAGGAUCCAGCGAUCCCUCUAUGGGGUCUGUAUCCAAAGGAACUGAAAUCUGUGUAAAGGACAUCUGUUCUCCCAUGUACAUUGCAGUACCACCUAAAGUUGCCAAGUUAUGGAAUCAACCUAGGUGCCCAUCAACAUAUGGAUGGCUAUGGAGAUACGGUCUAUGUAUAAAAUGAAAUAUUAUUCAACCAUGUAAAAGAAUAAAAUUCUGUCAUUUGCAGUUACAUGGAUGGAACUGCAGGUCAUUGUGUUAAGUGGAAUUAGACACCACAUGUUCUCACUUAGUAUGGGAAGCUAAAACACUGGCCUGAAAUAAGUAGAGAAUAAUGGUUACCAAUGCCUGGGAAGGGUGUUGGGGAGGGCAGAUGGAAAGAGAAUGGUUGCAGGGUACAGGGUGCGGUGGAUAGGAGGCACAGCUGAGGUGUCGUAGAUGGCAUAGUCGUGUACAGCAAUCAAUUGAGUAAUCCAAAAUGGCCACUAUUAGAACAUUCCUAAUACAAAGAAGCAACAAAGAUAUGAGGUGAUAAUACAAUUACCCUGAUCUGAUCUUUUUAAAAAAUAUCUCCUCUGUGGCCUGGCGCGGUGGCACACGCCUGUAAUCCAAGCAGCUUGGGAGGCUGAGACAGGAGGAUCACGAGUUCAAAGCCAACUUCAGCAACAACAAAGCACUAAGCAACUUUGUGAGAUUGUCUCUAAAUAAAUAGGGCUGGGGAUGUGGCUCAGUGGUCGAGUGCCCCUGAGCUCAAUUCUUGGUACCAAACAAAAAACCCUCAUGUGUUAAAAAAAUAACAGAAAAGGAAAGAGAUCAUAGAAAGAGACAGGGCAGGCCUGACUGGAUGGCCUCGGCUUCCCGCUCUGCCCACCGUGGGGUAAAGAUCCACGUCAAGGAUAGAGGUGUUCCUCUCGCUCCGAGUUACCCCACAGCCCCAGGGAGGGCCCGUCUGUGGGGGGCAGAGGAAGUCUGGAGAACAAAGGACAACCUCAACGACAUGAAAACAGUUUGUCUCUAGAGUGUUUUUCAGGCACCCUCGAUCACAGAAUGUUUAAUAGAGUUCUGGACAACUCUAGCGUCUUCCUGAGAGAGGGCACUCGCUGAGUGUGAAGCGAGCUGGGAGAACUCUCACAGAGGCACCAAAGCCAGGGGAGUCGGCAACCUUGUGUGCUCCAUGUUCUAUUCCUGUGAGGUGCAAGUACCGUUCCUUCCAGCUUCUCAGGCCAGUAAGGGAAGAUGGACCAGCAGCAGCAAAAUGUAUGAGCUGACCCUGACCCAGGGGCCUUGGCAAGGAAAUGAAGACACAAAGAAGUGGUUCAACCUGCGCUUUUUAUUCUGCAUUCAAAGAAGAGUGGGAUUGUGGGAAAAUAUGAUAGGGCAAAGACUGGGAGCCAGGGCUGACACGCUGGGGGAACACAGUAGGAGCUCUUCCCAGCCCUCGCUUGAGGGUCUUAGGCCUGCUUCAGGGCAGGGCCUUCCUGCCACUUCCCAAAUUCCUUCAGCUUGAAAGCUCAGUGUGCCAAGGAGACUGCGGCAGCACCUCCCAGACCCCAUCAAGUGUGGGACCAGCACAAAACUGGACUUGUACGUUCUAUGUUAGGCUUUGUGAUGUACGGAUUUCAUUCUGCACACCCACGACAUUCACUAGAAUCAGAGACAGAAGCUUCCUCCCCACUGCUUUUUGCAGUGGUACCUGCAUAAAGAUUGACCAGAGAUUGGCAGGCUUGAAACCCUGUCCCUGGAUAUCUGCCCAGUGGCCAUUCCUGGUGUUUUAGUCAGCUCUUUCGCUGCUGUGACUAAAAGAUCUGACCAGAACAAUUUUCGGGAAGAAGAGUUUAUUUGAGGGCUCAAGGUUUCAGAGGUCUCAGUCCACAGAAGGCCAGCUCCAUUCCUCAGGGCGAGGUGAGGCAGGACAUCAUGGCAGAAGAGUGUGGUGGAGGGAAGCAGCUCACAGGGUGGUCAGAAAGCAGAGAGUGACUCCACUCUCCAGCACAAAUGUAUGUCCCCAAGCCACACCCCUUCCCACCUCCUCCAGCCUCACCCCAGCACCUCAGUCACCUCUCAUUUAUCCCCAUCAGGGGAUUAAUAAGUUAGGACCCUUACAACCCAAUCGUUUCUCCUCUGAGCCUUCUUGCACUGUCUCACAUGUGAGCUUUUGGGGAACUUCUCACAUCCAAACCAUAACACCUGGAAUCUAUAGUAGGGCAGUGGCUUUAUUUCCCAUCAAGGGUUGUUUUCAAUUAUAAAAUGCUGAAUUCCAGCUCUCUUACUGCUAAAUAAAGACCCAGAACUGCAGAGAAAGGGCAGAGGCCUCACCAGGGCCCUGGGGUCCCACCCAGCUGUCCUUUUCUCCCCCACUCCACACUGGCCCCUUGUUUACUUGGCUCCCUUUUUCCAAUCCUCUUCCAUCUUGUUUGAUUGAUAUUUUGCUUCCUUUCCAUUCUCUACUGCCAAGAGAGCAGCUUUUAUCAAUAAAGUAAGACAAGCUACAGGAAGUUAAAUCGGGUCAAUUUAAUGUGGAAACAUGCUGUUCUCACCUUGAAUCUUACAAAACCAAUUUGGCUCAUGAAAGUGAAGCAUUUUGUUAGAGGAUUUUCAUCCUUAAUGGCAAAAGCAGUCUUGCCUCUGUGUGCGUUCAUACGUGUGCAUGAGGGCUCUGCUGUCUCUGGGAGCUUGCUCCGAUUCCCUCCAGGAACAGCUUUAGGCUUCCGGGUAGCUGACGCACACAUCCACCUUACCAAUCCAGGGGCCCUGUGACGAAGGCCCAUGGAAAACCACAUCCACCCACGGCCAACCUGGGUGUUGCCAAGGCAAAGGAAUACAGAAUGAGAAGAAGAAGAAAGCAGAAGUGUGAUCUACCGUCUGUAUCCGGAAAUUAAGCAUGGUUCAAGGCAAUGUCCGCUGCACAAAGGAUGGCGUGGGCAUGGCUACGUUGUGUCCACUCUGCUGGGAAUGCACUUCUCAGCAUUCGCUUCCAGGCAUGGUUGGGGUAGGCACUGUCCUGAAAGGCAUUUGCCCAUGGUUCGCAAGGCAGACGUGGGUCACCAACCAUGUUUUUCAUAUGCUCCAGAGGCUGGUGCAGGGCAUGGGACACUGGUGCAGCCCAUGCACAUUGUCACCUUUCUGCUGGCCCAUGGAACUGGUGGCAGCAGCUGCACCCGCAGCACUUCCUGCUCCUGCUAGGUCCUCCUUCAGCUCUCCCACCUCCAGGGCCAGAGUGUUUAAGUCCUGCAGCAUCUCCUGGCCACCCACUCACUGAAGCUGGAGGAUUAAGCUUAGUGAGAUACUAGUGAGGGCUCCAGCUGAACCCCACGCAGUGCGGUGCAGAGUGGCUCCCUCCUCUGGCUUCCUUCCCGCCAUGCCCCGGGCACAGCCCUGCAGCCCCACUCAGUGGCUGUGGUCAGGGCUCAGUCUCUGAGGCGGAUCCCUUGAGCCCCCCUUGCUGCUCUGCUCCUAGGUGAAGGCCAGGUGCAGGGUAGGCGCUAGACACAUUUGCCCUCCUUUCCCUCCCUCUAAAGCUUCAACUCUGAUUCCAUGUGCCUGUGUCCUUAGGAACCUACCCAUUAUUUCCUCUUCCUUUUAUUUCUUCAGCCUCUCCUUAUGGGGUCCUCAAGAAGCCUUUAAGUAAGCUCACACUUUUGCAAACUCCCCCAACUCCAGUCUCCUCUAGCUUCUCCUUGUUUCCUCCUUCCUCUGGAAGGAGUUGUGUUUAAUGUUUCUCUCUUCACGUCCCAGCUCCUCAGCCCAUCUGAACUGACUUCCCCUGACAAUUCUCCAGGUACCAGUGACCACCAUAUUAUUAAAUCCACUCGCAGUGUUAGCCCAUGUCCAGUUGACCCCUGGCAGCCAGUGAUGCUGUUGACCUCUGUCCUUCAUGAAACACUCUUCCUGCUGGGCCUCCAGGCUGGUACACAGGGGCUCGCUCUCUGCAUGGCCCAGCUUAUUUUCUCAGAGGCUAUCCCGGUGCCUGUGGGGUCGAUUCUCCCUAUUGCAGGUUGAAGAUUGUGUGUCCCAAUUCCCAUGUAAAAAUCCUUACCCUAAUGACACAGCUCUAGGAGGUGAUUAGGUCAUGAGGGUGGAGCUCUCUUCAUGGGAUUAUUGCCCUUAUAAGUGACCCAGAGAGCUCUCUUGCCCUUUUCCCUUUAUGAGGACACAGUGAAAAGCUCCCUCUGUGAACCAGGAAGUGGCAAUCCAGCUGAUAGCAAUGCACUGGGGACUCACAGCCUCUAGAAUUGGGAGAGAUGAGGGUUUCUUGCUGAGCUGCCUGAUCUGUGCAUUUGUGUUGUGCAGCCCACAUAGUCUGAGACCACCCCACACUGAGGACUCACCUCAACCUCCAGCUCCACUGCCUUCAGACCUGCAGUCCUAUUUAAUAUCUCAAAGAACCACAAACUCAACACUCCAAAAAUCAAACUCACAUUUUAUACUAAAGUGUGGUUCUUUCUCUUUUCCACAUCAUGAAAGAGCCAUUCAUCCAAUUAUGCAGGUCAGAAGCCUAGACCUUCACACCUCCAUCUCUCCCACCCUCUCAGCUCACGCAGCAUGUAUCCCCCGGAUGUGACCCCUACAUUUCUCGUGAAUGAUCUUCAUGUUUCCAUCUUCACCCCACCCAUGCACCAGAGUCCACGUGACCAUCAUCAUGAGUCAACACUACUCUAGUGACCUCCUUGCAUCCCACCUGAGCUCCCCCGUUUUUCCUCUAUACAGUCCCCAAGCAUAUCUUCAAAACACAAAUCUAAUCGUAUUAUCUCCUGUUUUUUAAUAUACUCCAACAAUUUCCCCUGUUGCAUGGUCCAAAAUGCCAUGUCUGACUGCCUGUCUCACCUUUCCAGUAUCAAGCAGUUCACAUACAUGUAAUUGGAGUUUCAGAAAAAAGAGGCAAGGGAUGGAAGGAAAACAUUUGAAGAAAUAAUGAAUGAUAUUUUUCUUUUCUGAUAUAAAAUGUAAACCCUCUAUUUACUAAGAACACCCCAAAAUGAAUUGCCGCAGUCUGGCUGGGCACAAAUGCCGCAGUCUGGCUGGGCACACAAUCACGAGCCACCACACAGCUUGUAGAUUCAAACAGCAUCUCUUUAUUCCCGAACUCACACCAGCCGUCUACAAUCACGUUCUGGGGAAAUCCACGUUCUCUUCCCAAAUCCACGUUCUCUGCCCAAAUUCACCUUCUCUGCCCAAAUCCACUUCCACUGGGCUUCUAUCUCCAAAAUAUACUGUCUGAAUCCCGUGAGAACUCAAGGGGAACUCAGGCAGCAGGAUACGCCCUAUUCCCAGCAGGAAUAAUCUUAAACCUUAAACCUGGAACCUAAACUGGGAACGCCCUAAACAAGAUUAUCUUAAAACCGGGAACACCCUAAUCUGCCUUGGUCCUUGAGCAAGGUCACUUACAUUCAAUGUCACUGCAACAUGUCAGCAACAUGGGGUACGCUGGCAAGGAAAUUGUCAUACUUACUUGGCUAAUGGCUCCCAGCAAUGAAUAGCUCAAAGAAAACAACACCAAGGCAUAUAAUCAUCAAAUCAUGGAAACCACCGUCUGGGAGAAUGCCGCAGUCCGGCUGCAGCAAAAUAACCCGGGGGGUGAUGAACAACUUGUGAAUGUUGAUACAGCAGGAGUGGAAGCCCUUUAUUGCAGGACAGGAGCAGUAUUUAUACAUUCCACACAGCUUAUCUAAUUAGCAUAAACUAGAUACAGCAGUCAACCAAUCAGGAAUCUCCACACUUAAUGGCUUGCUUUGUUACUUCUCAAACCACUCCCUCUGGCAUUUUGCCAGGCACCAUCCAGACUUGUUUACGAACUUUAACAUUCCCCUGGCAAAAUGCCAGGUGUUAUUUUGACUUGUUUACAGACUCUAACAGGAGAAAACAUUUGCAAUUCAUGCAUCUGGCAAAAGACUUGUAGUUAGAAAAUAUGAAGAACUCCCAUAACUUGACAAUAAGAUGACAAAAAAAUCCUAAAAACUGUAAAGAUGGGCAAAAGAUCAGAACCACUAUCUUACAAGAAAGGGAGCAUAGCGGUCAGUGAGCACCUUGGGUCAGCACCUUGAGCCAUUCAGGAAACACAAGUCAGAGUGACAAGAUCCUAUGUCGUGUCCAGGUGUCCAGUGAGACAGCUCACAUGGGGAAGACUGGCAGCACCAGGUGUGGCUAAGCAUGGGGCAGCUACAAAUCCUGCGAAUUGCCAGUGUUAGUGGGGAGUGGUGCAGCCAUUUGGAGAAUGGCCCGGGAGUUUCACAUAAGGGAAACGUUUACCACAUGACUCAGCAAUUCCACGCCUUGGCAGAUUUACUCAAAAGAAAUAAAAAAGUACAACCACAAAUUGCUUAUACACAAAUAUUCCCAGUCUUGUUAGUCCUAAAACUGCAAGCCGGACACCAUAUGAGGUGCUUUGAGUGCCGAAUUACAAACACAGUGUGGUAUAUCCAUUCAAUGGGAUACACAUAAAUGAACCUUAGAAGUACUCUGCUGACGCAUGGUAGAAACGGAUUACAUUUAUGAGAUGUUUUGGAAUAGGCAAAAAUGUAGCCACAGAAAUAAGAAAUUGCCUGAUUUCAGAGGAAUCUUUCUGGAAUAACAGAAAUAUUCCAUACCACACUUGGCAUGGCCAUUACAUGAUAGUGACUUGUCAAAACUUAUUGAACUGUGCACUUAAAAUGGGUAUAUUUUGCUGUAUUAAAUCAUACCUUGAUAAAAUUGAUUUCUAAAGUGAUAGGAAAUUAACUAUACUGAUAACCAAUUAUCUCCAAAAUAAGACUAUUUUUUCUAAUCUCCAUAUGUUAAUUUUUACUAAUAAUUGUCUAUGUUUUAAUAAGUGAUGGUAUGAUUUAGAUUCUUUGGAAGUUAUUGAGCAGGGGAAUAAUAUGGUCUGAUUUGUAUUUUUCUUUAUAGACUUUAUGUUUUUUUAAGCAGUUCUAGUUUCAUAGCAAAAUUUAGUGGAAAAUCACACCAGACCCUGUAAAGAUGUACAAUUACUGUAUAUAUAUUAAAAACAGGGACCAGGGGUGUAAUUUAGUGGUUAAGCAUGUGCUUAGCAGUCACAGGCCCGGGGUUUAAGCUUAGAAUCAAAAUUAAAUAAAAAUAAAUAUUUUUAAAAAGAAUAAAUUCAAGUGGAGAGUGUACUGUUCACAUGAGCCCCCAACCCCCCAGGUGCACAGCCUCCCCAUCAUCAGCGUCCUCCACUGGAGUGUCCAUUUCUUAGGAUGAACCUUCACUGAAAUGGCAUUCCCACUUGGAGUACACAGCCUACAUUAGGUUUCAUUCCUGAUGAACAUUCUGUGAGUUUGGAUGGAUAUAUCAUGUGCAUUUUUUUUAAGAGAGAGUGAGAGAGAGAGAGAGAGAAUUUUUUUAAUAUUUAUUUUUUAGUUAUCAGCGGACACAACAUCUUUGUUUGUAUGUGGUGCUGAGGAUCGAACCCGGGCCGCACGCAUGCCAGGCAAGCGCGCUACCGCUUGAGCCACAUCCCCAGCCCCAUUAUGUGCAUUUUUUAAUGGUCCCUAUUGAUGAUGGAUGCAUGUGAUUUAGGUUCCCAGAUGCGCCAAGCACUACCUACCUCCAGCUUAUAGCGUCCACCCUCGACCUGGUCCACUCCUUCAUGCUACCUGAUUAUGGUUGAACCACGAAGCAACUCCAAUUUUGAAUCAAAUUAAAGCAAGCUUAUAUUUUCUUUGUUUACACAAAGAAAGCUGGCCAGGACUGUCUCUCCCUAAGCUAUGCAUCUGGCAAAAGACUUGUAGAGGUCACCAUCCCAGCUCUCCAGGAAGGGGGGUGUCUUGAGAACUUAUAGCUAACAGGAUUUUGACAAGCGUAAGACAAAGGCAGAAGGUCAAUGAUCUACAUGGCUUAACAUUUCAAGGUAGGGAAUAAAUUCAGAUCCCAACAUCAGAAUUUAUGAGGUGCCGCUAAGUUUUCAGAGAGGGUUGUUAUCUGGUCCGGGAAAGCCAGGCAUGGGUGAGGUCAAGGCACGGGCAGGAAUUCCAAAUAAGUUUAGAAAUUGCAGUAAUUUAUAGUAAAACAGAAAUUAACUUUUCAUGACUUUGUGACGAGAUGGCUCCCAAUCUUAAGAUAGAACUAGGCUGGGUUCAACAAUUAAACUCAAGCACUUUUGAGUUUUAGUGACUCCAGGAAUUUUACAGGCCCAACCCAGGGCCUUGGUCCAAUGGGCAGCAGGAUGAAGCUUAUGCCCCUGAGAGUGAUAUGCAAGAUGGCAGGGUGUGUGUGUGGGGGGAGCUUAGUCAGCUUUUCUUGCUGCUGUGACUAAAGACCUCAUCAGAACAAUUGUAGAGGAGGAAAAAUUUAUUUAGGAGCUAACAGUUUUCGAGGUCUCCAUCCAUAGACAGUGUCGCAAUGGGCAAAAGUUGCGACUUAUGCAGCUGAGGGGAAAUAUAAAGAAUGACCAGGCGCUUCUGCCCUUUUCAGUGCUUUGUUCACUCAAAUCACUGAAUACAAUUUCACUCUAUAGGUUCUUGAUCAAGAAAAUGAUGAACUUUAAUGCUGGGCACUGCAAUAGUCACAAUCAAUUCACAACAAACAAUUCUAGAUUAACUCUAAGCACUGCAAACACACUUAAUCAUGACAGGCUUGUGACAGACAUUCCCUCUGCGUGCUAAGCUCAAGUGUCAGAUCAGAAAUCUCAAGGCUUAGGCUCUAAGACCAGCAGAUGCACACUCACUCAGACCAGGGUCAUCAGGUCAGGAACCAAGGCAGGCUUCACCUGGGGUGGAGCUGACAGCAGGCUGAGAAGGUCAUAAGGAGAAGUCCUGGCUCUCACGGAGUCAAGAUGUGGCUGUAGAGUUUGAGAGUGGUGAGGAGGAUGCAGAGGAUCAGGUAAAUGAGGAGAAGAAUUGGGAUGUCAGUCCAGGUCCUCAUCAGGUUCUCCAGCGUGAGGAUAUCAGUGUCAGCUGGUUGAAUGUCUGCUCAUUUGCUCCAUUAUUUAUACUAAAUUUGGGGGCUUCUGACCAUCUUUUCAAUCCCUAUCAGCUGUUACUGGAUUUCUCAGUGAUGUCAUUUGUCCUGAGGUUAAAGCAUCUGGUCAGGUGGUCCCCACCCUGAGAUUCUCUUAUCAGGGUGAGAGCAACAUGCCAGAGGCUUUACUCUGAGUCUGUCAGGGUGAGGAGAAGUGACUUGUUUGUGCCUGAGGGCCACGCUGGAGGGCUCCAUUAGCCUUGCCUGAUGAGACUGCAGGUUUCAAACUGGAGUUUUAAAAUGGAGUUGCUUAGGCUAAGGGCCAUCCUUACAGACAACAGCCUCCAUUCCUCAGGGCUCAAGGUGAGGCAGGACAUCAUGGCGGAAGAGUGUGGCAGAGUGAAGCAGCUCAUGUGGUGAUCAGAAAGCUGAGAGAGGUCCCCACUCACCAGAUACAAAUAUAUACCCCAUAGCCACGCCCCAGUGAGCCACUUCCUCCAGCCACACCCUACCUGCCUCUAGUUAUCACUCAGUUAAUGCCAGCAGGGACUAAUUCACUGAUUAGGUCAAGGCUAUGUCCAAUCAUUUCUCUUCCAAACCUUCUUGCAUUGCUCCCAUGUGCCAUUUGAGGGGUCACCCCAUCUAAACCACAACAGGAAGACAGAUCCUAGGUGGAGCUGGCAGGACGGGAGAUGAUGUGGUAGUAAACCAUUCAGACCUGGGAUCAAGGACCAGAGAGGAAUAGCUGUCCCUACCCACCCUGCCCGACCUGCCCCCUGCCUUGAUCCUCCUAUGAUGCUGGAGACUAUGGCCCAGAAGGCGGAUCUUACCUUUCUAUGGCAGAAACUUAAGAGAAAAAAGAAAAAGGGCACUCAAAAUUUAUUACAGGCCUGAGGCCUGGGAGUACACUCCUGAGUCUUUCAUUUCACAAGCGCCUGCAUUUGUAGGUUGACGACCCUCCCCACCAUAUGGGUGUUUCUGAAGGAGUGGUGACACCAGCCCCAAACCCACCUAUGCAGAGCUGCCCCCUGGGGGUAGGAAAGUGAAAGCCACCUGUUCUGCUCACGCCAGUUGCAGCAGGGCUGCAGCCCAGGGUUUUCACUGCUCCAUAGGCUGGAAUUGUGGCUUGGCUCUUCAGUCUUUAACACAGCCAGAUCUUGUGCUGGUGCCUAAGCCUCGCGCUGCAGCUGUGCACACAGAAGCAAACCUGGGCGUGACGUGGCUCUGUGCCUGCUUGCUUCCAGGUCGCUGGCAAUGCAGGCUUUUGAGUUGUUUUUAUCAAAGUUGGAUUAGAGCUUGCAAGGUUCUCCCCAGUGUACUGCUGGUGGUCUGCCCUUUCUGAAAGAUAGUACUUCCAAAAAAAAUUGUUACAGCUAGUUCUUUUGGCAUUUACUUGUUUUUAAAUAAUGGGCUUGUGCUGUAUUUCUGAACUUUUCACUUUUAACCGUGACGUGUUGAUGCCUGAUUGUGGGAAAUGGAGAUGGCUGCACCUCUCCACUCACACUCUCUCCUGUGUAAAAGCUCUCAGUGAGCCGCGUGGGUACUGUCCUCAAACAGUUGGCUCUCGGGGCACUUUGAUCACACCCCCUCACCCAACGCUGUCUUCCUGCAAUAUUCCUCAGCUCUGUCUUUCCAUUAGGUUAGCCUGACAAGCCCCUGUAACUGGUGUCUUUGCUGAGGUGUCUCUACUGGGGCCCUGAGCAUCUGGUCCCAUUCUGCACCAGCUGAUGCCUGAGGUCCUGCAGCCUCCCUCUCCACCUCUCCUUCUCCUGACUGGACGGAUCCCUUUUCUUCUGCUGCCAACAUCUCCCUCUUCCUUCCUAGGGUACCUAGGGUCUCCUAUGAAAACAUGCAUGGCAGGUAACAAUUUUAAAGUCCUCUCUGAUAACUAAGGAAUUGAUUUCUUUUUUUUUUUUUUUUUAUAUUUAUUUUUAAGUUUUUUUUUAGGUGGACACAAUAUCUUUAUUUUACAUUUAUGUGGUGCUGAGGAUCGAACCCAGUGCCUCAUGCAUGCUAGGCGAGCACUCUACCGCUGAGCCACAACCCCAGCCCCAGGAAUUGAUUUCUAUUCUACACCCAACCUUGGCUAAUUUGCUAGGAUACAGAAUUCCACACUGAACAUAACUUCUCAGUUUUAAGGACGUGGCUUCAUGGUCCACAGCCUCCAGCAUCAUUUGUGAGACACCUGGUGUCAUCCCAGGCCUGGCUUGUGUGAGACGCUGCUUUUGACUCCCUCUAUGCAGAUGUGGAGAAGUGUUCACUGCCCCCACCACCCAGUUGCCAUGGAAACGUGCCUUGAUUUUUGGACUGGGCAUUCUUGGAACUUGUGGAACCCUUCCAGUUUGGGAGCUUGAGUUCUCUGGCUCUGACAGAGCAGCCCCUGCCACACGUGCCACGGGGCCUUGAAACUAGCACUCCCGUGGAAAUGGAAAUACUUCAAGUAUAUUGGGUUAAAGAAAAUGAAAUAUAUUAUCAAAAUUAGCUUCAUUUCUUUUUUCUUAUAUUUUGAAAAAUGGAAGUAGAGGGCUGGGGCUGGGGCUCAGUGAUGGAGCACUUGCCUGGCAUGUGUGAGGCACUGGGUUCGAUUCUCAGUGUCACGUAAAAUAAAUAAAGGUCUAUCAACACUUAAAAAAAAUGCAAGUAGAGACUCACACUUACAGCUCUGUUCUAGAGAAGUCAUCAGGAACCAUGUCUUUGAAAAUUUCUUGCCCUUUUUCUUUUCCUUAAGUCCACACUCCUCUAUCAAUAGCCUUUGUUUGUUUGUUUGUUGCUGUCCUGAGGAUGGAACCCAGGGGCCCUCUACCACUGAGCUACAUCAACAGUCCUUUUUAUUUUAUUUUAUUUUAAAUCUUGAGACAAGGUCUCCCUAAAUUUCCCAGGCUGGCCUUGAACUUGCCACCCUCAGCCUCCCAAGUGACUGGAUCACAGGCGUGCACCACUGCACCCUGCUCCACGGCUUUUUCUUUUUUUAAAGUCCUUUGAAUUUUCAUGUAGAUUUUACUGAGAGCUUUUUCUUUUAUUUUCUGAUUUUGUUGCAUUUUUCUACUUUCUUGAAGAAUUUUGAAAAACUUGUCUUCUACUGAGUUUUUUUAAAAAAAUUAUCAUGGAAAUUUGUAGACUUAUGCAAAAUAGAGUGUCACUAGGGGGCAAAAUUGCAAUGUAUGCAGUCGAGGGGAGAAAUAAAGAAUGUCCACACGCUUCUGCCCCUUUCGAUGCUUUAGUCACUCAAACUGCUCCAUACAAUUUUGCUCUAUACCUUCUUAAUCAAGACACUCCUUAAUGCUGGGCUGCAAUAGACAUAAUCAGUUCCCAGCAGACAAUUCUAGGUUAAUUCUAAGCACUGCAAAACACACUUAAUCAUGACAGGCUAAUGACAGUCAUUCCCUCUGCAGGCUAAGUUCAAAAGUCUCAAGCCUUAGGCUUUAUGUCCAGCAGAUGCCCACUCACUCAGACUGCGGUGACCAGGUCUGGAACCAAGGCAGGCUUCUCCUGGGGUGGAGUGGAUGACCCAUUGAGGAGAGGGUCAUAGGAAGAAGCUGUGGCUCUCACCAGGGUCCAGACGGGGCGGUAGGGUUUGAGAGUGGUGAGGAUCACGCAGAGGAUCAGGAACGAUGACAAUGAUGGGAUGUCAGGUCCUCAUCAGGCCUCCAGCCCGAGUGCACCCUUGUUUUGGCUGGCUGAAUCCCUGUUCAUUUGCUCGAUCAUUUAUACUAAAUUUUGGGGCUUUUUGACCUCCCUUUCAAUCCUUAUCAGCUACCACCGGAUUUCUCAGUGACAUCAUUUACCCUGGGGUCAGAAACAUCUGGUCUGGUGGUCUCCACCCCAUCAGGCGAGGACAGCCUGCCAGGGGCUUCCUCUGUUUAUCAGGGUGAGGGGAAGGGACUUGUCUGAGGCCACAGUGGAGGGCUCUGUGGGUGUGCCUGGUGAGACUGCAGGUUUCAAAUGGAGUUUUGAAACCUGCAGUCUCAGCCGAAACAAGGGUGCACUUGAGUGGGAGGCCAGAUGAGGACCUGACAUCCCAUCACUUGUCAUCGUUCCUGAUCCUCUGGGUGAUCCUCACCGCUCUCAAACUCUACUGCCUCAUCUGGACCUUGGUGAGAGCUGCAACUGUCAGAUCAGGCGAGGCGGGCAGCGACCAAAGGAGGCAGAUUUAAAAGGGCCGCUGAAGGAGGCUUUAUUGAGACAUCACUCCCGGGCGGAACUCGAUCAGACCCACAGAGGGGACAGGAGAAGGGUCUGAGGAGAAGCUCCUCUGGACUUUUAUGGGGCUUACAGCAGGAAGGGAAGGGCUUGGGACAGGAAAAGGUGUUUCUAGGGUCCCUUGCCCCCUUGGAGUUGGUCAGGGGAGCUGGCUGAACUCCAGGAUUGGCCAGGGGGUCCUGCUGAUUGACAGGCUUUUCCGCUGGCAUCUGAUUGAUGUUCUUUUCCUUCCGGCCAAGUCGCCACCAAGUCGCCACCAAGUCGCCACCACCGACCUAACAGCAACUUCCCCAUACCACCCUCUCUCAAUGGUUCAGCCACUCCACCCCAGGAGAAGCCUGCCUUGGUUCCAGACCUGGUCACCGCGGUCUGAGUGAGUGGACAUCUGCUGGACAUAAAGCCUAAGGCUUGAGACUUCUGAACUUAGCCUGCAGAGGGAAUGCCUGUCAUUAGCCUGUCAUGAUUAGAAUUAAUCCGGAAUUGUUUUUAGUAAAUUGAUUAAUCUAGAAUUGUUUGCUGUGAAUUGAUUUUGUCUACUGCAGUGCCCAACAUUAAAGAUUGACGUUUUCUUGAUUAAGAACCUACGGAGUGAAGUUGUAUUGAGUGAUUUGAGUGAAUAAAGCAUUGAGCGGUGGUAGCUGUGACAUUCAUUUAUUUCUCCCCCUCGACUGUAUACAUUGCAACUUUACCCCCUCGUGACAACAGGGCAGGCUGAGGCCUCUGUCUCUCUGUCUGCCAUUGGCAGGCAGCCACAUUUUCUCCCACCCCAACUGCGAGGGAGGAAGGCCAAUAUCCCCAAAUAAUCAAGGUUUCCUGUCAGGAAGGGGAAAUGGAUUCUUGUGGAUAUGACAGUGAAAGAAAGAUAGAAAGGAAGGGAAAGAAGGGAGGAGGAGAGGGAGGGAGGGAGGGAGGGGAAAAAUCUUUUAUAAGUCCUUGCUUAGCAUCUGGGUGGCCAUCUUAAGUGACAGGCGGCAUUUUAAGGAAAGGUUUUGCUUUCCCACCCUUGGGCCUUUCUGAGAAAGGCUCACCACUCCCUCAAACCCACCCAGCCCUUCACCACCUGAAUUCUUUCCCGCCCAAGGAUGUACCAGUCCCCCUUAAUCGCCCACCUGAGGACCCCAGCUCUAAUCCCUGAGCCACCCCCAUAAAAGUCUCCAACCCCAGGUCUUAUUGCCUCUCUCCACUAUGGAGGGAUGUGCCUUUAUUUGUCACCUCUGACCCACAGACUGUCUCCUGUCUCUCUGCCUGGUCUCCGCCUUGCAUUUCUCGCUCACCGUGUCCGCCUCCUCGCUGUCCUUUCACCUUUCUCUCUCUGUCCGGGGGCAAAACCUAAACAUGAAGACUCCUGUCCUCUUUUACUUCACAAAUGUAACCCAGCCCCUCGCCCCCUUAGGUGUCCGGAUGGGACUCAGGACACGCCGCCGCCAGCUGACUGCGGAAUCCACCCGCACUCGGACACACCUCUGUAUGUUGGAGAGAGCUCUGGAAUGACCUCUUGCAGAGAAAUCCACACCCCAGCAGUCCUGCUGGUGAGGGUGCCUCCCCUCCGGAAUCAGCUGCAUAAAGACGGUGAUGGCAGAACCAGACCUGGCUGUGAAAUGAAAGUAAAAAUGUUAUGGUGAGAAACUGGCCUGGGAAAGGGGCCAGUUCCCCUCCCCUCUCUCAGGCUUUCUCCAGGAAGCCUAAUUGACCUUUGGGGUUGUAGAUAACUUCCCCUGCGGGUCUGACUGAGAAACUGAUGUGACUCCAUUUUAAAAAAUAAAUAAAUAAUAGCAGCUUCUACCUCA